rnacentral:rRNA from 1 species
AAAAACAUGGCUUUUUGAGUUUAAUUUAAGGUCUAGCCUGCCCAAUGAGUUUUAAAUGGCCGCAGUAUAUUGACUGUGCGAAGGUAGCAUAAUCAUUAGUUUUUUAAUUGAAAGCUGGAAUGAAAGGUUGGAUGAGAAAAUAUCUGUCUCUGUAAAAUUUUAUUUGAAUUUUAUUAUUAAGUAAAAAAGCUUAAAUUUUAAUAGAAGACGAGAAGACCCUAUAGAGUUUUAUAAUUAUAAAAUUUAAAGCUUUUAGUAUUCAAAAUUUUAUUUUUUAUAUUUAUUUAAUUGGGGUGAUUGAAAAAUUAAGUAAACUUUUUUUGUAUUAGUACAUUUAUUUAUGAAUAAAUGAUCCUUAAAUUGAGAUUAUAAGAUAAAAUUACCUUAGGGAUAACAGCGUAAUUUUUUUUGAGAGUUCUUAUCGAAAGGAAAGAUUGCGACCUCGAUGUUGGAUUAAAAUAAAUUUUUGGUGUAGAAGCUAGAAUAAUUGGGUCUGUUCGACCUUUAAAAUUUUACUUGAUCUGAGU